rnacentral:misc_RNA from 1 species
UAAAUGCAAAAUAAGUGACAGUUAUCAGCUGCCUUGCCAAUACAUUAUCGCCAGUUUUAGUUUUUAAAUAACAUAAAGGUUUCAGAUAGGGUGCAUAACGAUAAGAAAUCCAUGCUGAUCACUGGAGAUACAAAAUAAUUUAGUCCAAGACUCCUUGAUUCCUUGUUCUUUCAUAUCUCAAAAUCCCAGCGUGACCCCGCACAACUUAAAGCAAGGCUUCCUCCAAGUUCUGCCACAUGUAUGUGAUAAAGAUUCUUUAUAAGAGGUUUUGGCACCUAGCAGAACUUCUCAUCCCCAAGAUCAAAUGCAAGUAUCAAUCUAUUGAAAACCUUUCCUUUGCGAUCAACCACCCAAUGCAGUGACCCAUUAACAAUAACACCACUACUGGAUUCAUGCCUAUUAUAUUUAACAAAAGAAUAAUCAAGGAGGUCCUCAACUCUCCUUGAAGAAUUACCUUUCAAACUGUAAACCAUGACUCUCAUAUUGUUUUCCAUGUAGGGUUGAGUCAUUAUGAUCACCUUGUAGUCAUCGUUAAUGGCAUCGUAGCCAAAUCCACACAGCAUUGUGGAUAAAAUUUGGUCCCUCUUCGUUGGUGGCUUCCACAGGAUCACGCCUUCACCAAUUUGGUGCUUCUUUGUCGCUGGAUUCCAGAAGAUCAUGCGUUUACCAUCGUAAGCAAGCCAUUGCAAGAACCAAAAUCAUCUUUGUAAAACUUGCAAAGAUCUCCACGCCAUCCGCCUGUUACAAAGAAAAAGUAUCAACGUGCUACUUGUAGGGGCGAUGGAGCUCCACGGGGCAUCUAUCUGAUGAGUCUUAAGUCCAAAGCGAAGAUCGAGCCAUCUGGAUUGAGAUCAUCAAUAAUGAGGCUACGGUUGGUGCUGGUUUUCAUAGAUUGAUUAACGUGGGUGUUGAUGAAAUAUGGGCUGUCAAUAGAGGGACGAACACUUUUGUGACAAGCAUCUGAAGCGUAGGAGAGACUCAAUGGGUAGACGGCAUAGAAUUUCGAUGAGAAGAUCAUAAUCGAACUUCAUCAGAGAAAAUAAUCCUGGAACUUGAAGGCGGCUAUUGGAAGAUCAGAUAAAUAACGCUGACCGAUCGUUUUGGAAUCGGAUAUGGUAAAAUUUUUACCUCGACCCAUUCAUCAGGUAUAUAUGGGACUCAUAGAAUCAUGUCCAUUUGUAAAAUCUUAAACAAAAUUAAUU